rnacentral:rRNA from 1 species
AGUGAACGCUGGCGGCGUGCUUAACACAUGCAAGUCGAACGAGAACGGAUUAUAGCUUGCUAUAAUUGUCAGCUAAGUGGCGCACGGGUGAGUAAUGUAUAGGUAAUAUGCCUCUUACUAAGGGAUAACAAAUGGAAACGUUUGCUAAUACCUUAUACUCCUUAUUAACAGAAGUUGAUAAGGGAAAGAUUUAUUGGUAAGAGAUUAGCCUGUAUUGUAUCAGUUAGUUGGUGGGGUAAUGGCUUACCAAGACUAUGACACAUAACUGGUUUGAGAGGAUGAUCAGUCACACUGGAACUGAGACACGGUCCAGACUCCUACGGGAGGCAGCAGUGGGGAAUAUUGCACAAUGGACGAAAGUCUGAUGCGGCAACGCCGCGUGGAGGAUGACACAUUUCGGUGCGUAAACUCCUUUUAUAUGAGAAGAUAAUGACGGUAUUAUAUGAAUAAGCACCGGCUAACUCCGUGCCAGCAGCCGCGGUAAUAC